AGAUUCAAUUAAUAAAUUUUAGAUUGCAGCUUGAUAUCACUUAGUAUGUACAUUGUACUCGGUUGCAAGGGUAGAACUUAUGAGAAUACUAUCAUAGUAUUAUUGCACUAUACUAUUAUGGGUUCAUCAAAGUUCGUAUCAUGAUUUGUCACAAUUAAACCAUCGAGUCACUUGAGGAAACCCGUUAAAGCUCGCAAUUGGCGACGAGAUAAAGUUUGUGGUACCUCUAGAUGUUAAGUUAACUCUUAGGCUCCAAUCUUCCUUACUAUACCUACCACUCCUUCUUCCUUGAUAAGAAGUAGAUCCAUCUGGAACAGUGAGCUGCUUCUUCCCUUCUAUCCCGUACUAGCCUACUCAGCUCUCUCCAAACCGUGAACAACUACUCCCGGUGCUAGAACUUUAACCGCAUAAUUAUAACAGCACAAUUCUUUCGCUUGAAUCUCAGUCUGCUGUAAGACUGCUGUACCGGUAGAGUUUUUACUUGUAUGAUUCAGCAAUCUGCUCUUUAGAUGGUACCGUUACCUCCCGCCAUAAGACUGUGCCGUCUUGGUGACCUUGAGAAUAUCAUAAGGUCCGAUAUAUAAAAGCACUAUCCAAUAUCGAGACCCACUCAGGAUCCCAAACCACGACUCCUUUCGGUCGUCUGUACUUGCUUUUUUCCUCCCAGCAUGGACUAAGUCAAUGAUACUGUCUUACAUCGCUGGCCUUGUUCUUAUAAGUGUUCACUCGGCGCUCACAAGAUAACAUGUUCAGAGAUCUGUUGCAGAACCUUGUCGUGCCGUCAUUUAUAUACUCCUUGACUAAGAGCUACUUUACACCUACAGCAAAAAUGUGCUAAAUGAUACCCAUCCUCUCCUCACAUUACUGUACUUGCACUUACCAUCCUCAUCUUCGCCAUAGAGGUGGUUAAGAGGGUGACGUACACAGCAUCUAGCACGAAUCCAAUAAGCAGCUAUCAAGUCUCAAGAUAUGACAUAAUUUGAUAGAAUGUUAGUACCAACGCUAUCAGUGCAUUGAAGUCGAGUUCUCGAUACAGGGAGCUGCUGGUAAACUACCGUCGCUAUACAUCGACUAUGACUACAAUCCUACUUUUAAAAACAAACUACAUACAUAUCUCACAUUUGCGAGGACUACUUCAUCACAAGCAAAAAAUCGACAUUGGUAAAUAAAGGUCUGUCUUCUAUAACCACGAUGAAAAGAAAAGCUGGGCGAAAACACUUGAGACUGCAGAUUGCAGAACUGGAACACUCUAUUUGAAGACAGUGGCUGCUGAGUGCUGAGCUGCAUCAAAUCUAUCAGCAUCAUGUAACUUCGAUCAGGAACAGACUCCAUUUCAUUUCCGACAACUAGCACCUGUUUUCCCUAGACUUACCAAGUAUUAAGUAACUGCAUUAGUAUUAGGUUAAAUUAAAGGCCCUACAUCGAACAAGUCUAACAAUUAAAACUUAAAUGCAAGAGUGCACAAUUUAUCACUAAAUAUCUUCCUCUUUUAAUUCUAAUCAACACACGGUUUCGUCUUUGUUUCACCCAAUCGUGCUGAUAAUCAGUAAUCAUGCACUCUGCACUCUAACUUCGAGAUGUUUCAAAAGGGCUCCCGACGAGUUGAAUUAGAUCAAUAUUUUCUUUUGAUACAUAGAUACUGAUUGGGAGGUUCAUCAUACUAUUCUUGUCACAUGGUAACGAUUAACGAUUAGCUGAUCAGCUUCCAGCAUCGACAGGCCGAAAUCCAUAAAUAUAAUCAGUUGUAAUUUAAUAUUUAUCAUCGUCCGGAUCAUCAUAAUAUUUUAAUUUAAAGUUACAAUUGAACGGUGUUAAGAAAGAUAAUUUAAGAGAAAUGUUUUGAAAGUGCCUGAUUUCGAGUAUAAGAUCUGUACUGAUACAUUAAUUUUCAGAUUGUUAUUAUA